AACGAACGCUGGCGGCAUGCCUAACACAUGCAAGUCGAACGAAACCAUCGGGACUAGUGGCGCAUGGGUGCGUAACGCGUGGGAACCUGCCCAUAGGUUUGGAAUAACUCCCCGAAAGGGGUGAUAAUACCGGAUCAUGUCUUCGGACCAAAGAUUUAUCGCCUUUGGAUGGGCCCGCGUUGGAUUAGCUAGUUCGUAGGGUAAAAGCCUACCAAGGCGACGAUCCAUAGCUGGUCUGAGAGGCUGAUCAGCCACACUGGGACUGAGACACGGCCCAGACUCCUACGCGAGGCAGCAGUGCGGAAUAUUGGACAAUGGGCUGAAGCAUGAUCCAGCUAGGCCGCGUGAGUGAUGAAGGCCGUGGGGUUGUAAAGCUCUUUUACCCGGGAUGAUAUUGACAGUACCGGGAGAAUAAGCUCCGGCUAACUCCGUG
rnacentral:rRNA from 1 species